GUGCUCGCUUUGGCAGUACAUAUACCAAAAUUGGAAUGAUACAGAGAUUCUCAAAGCCCCUGAGUAAGGGUGAAUAUGCAGAUUCAUGAAGCAUUCCAUAUUUUU
ensembl:snRNA U6 U6 spliceosomal RNA